AACGAACGUUGGCGGCGUGGAUUAGGCAUGCAAGUCGAACGAAUCUCAGCCUUGUAGCAAUACCGGGCUGGGGGAAGUGGCGAAAGGGGCAGUAAUGCAUGGGUAACCUACCUCGGGGACGGGGAUAGCCUUCCUAACGGAUGGGUAAUACCUGGCGAUUUGGUUGAGGGGCAUCUCUCGACCAGGAAAUGAAUUUCGCCUCGGGAGGGGCUCAUGUGAUAUUAGCUUGUUGGUGAGGUAACGGCUCACCAAGGCAAAGAUGUCUAGCGGGUGUGAGAGCACGACCCGCGCCACUGGCACUGAGACACUGGCCAGACACCUACGGGUGGCUGCAGUCGAGGAUCUUCGGCAAUGGGCGAAAGCCUGACCGAGCGACGCCGCGUGGACGAUGAAGGCCUUGGGUUGU
rnacentral:rRNA from 1 species